rnacentral:rRNA from 1 species
GACGAACCGUGCGAACGUUGUUCGGAAUCACUGGGCUUAAAGGGCGCGUAGGCGGGUCACCAAGUCCGGGGUGAAAUCUUUCGGCUCAACCGGAAAAUUGCCUUGGAUACUGGUGGUCUUGAGGGAGGUAGGGCAUGUGGAACUUCCGGUGGAGCGGUGAAAUGCGUUGAUAUCGGAAGGAACGCCGGUGGCGAAAGCGACGUGCUGGAUCUCUUCUGACGCUGAGGCGCGAAAGCUAGGGGAGCAAACGGG